GAUGAACGCUGGCGGCGUGCUUAACACAUGCAAGUCGAGCGGAGCGGCGAACGGGUGAGUAACGCGUGAGUAACUGCCCCCCUAUCUGGGAUACCAGUUGGAAACGGCUGCUAAUACCGGAUAGUGGGGGAUGACUCGGGUCCUAUCAGCUUGUGGGUGGGGUAGUGGCCUACCCAGGCGACGACGGGUCGCCGGCCUGAGAGGGCGACCGGCCACAUUGGGAGGAGAUGCGGCCCGAUCUCCAUCGGGAGGCAGCAGUGGGGAAUAUUGCACAAUGGGGGAAACACUGAUGCAGCAACGCCGCGUGCGGGAGGACGGCCUUCGGGUUGUAACCGCUUGCAGCCAUGACGCGGUAGUGGCAGAAGAAGCACCGGCUAACUACGUGCCAGCAGCCGCGGUAAUUC
rnacentral:rRNA from 1 species